rnacentral:rRNA from 1 species
UACGUAGGGUGCAAGCGUUGUCCGGAAUUACUGGGCGUAAAGAGCUCGUAGGCGGUUUGUCGCGUCGUCUGUGAAAACUCGAGGCUCAACCUCGAGCUUGCAGGCGAUACGGGCAGACUUGAGUACUGCAGGGGAGACUGGAAUUCCUGGUGUAGCGGUGAAAUGCGCAGAUAUCAGGAGGAACACCGGUGGCGAAGGCGGGUCUCUGGGCAGUAACUGACGCUGAGGAGCGAAAGCAUGGGGAGCGAACAGG